GCUGGGUGUGGUGGUGCACACCUAUAGAAUCCCAAUUACUCAGGAGGCUGAGAUAGGAGGAUCACUUGAGCCCAGGAGUUCAAAGCUGCAGUGAGCUGUGAUUGUGCCACUGCACUGUAGCCUGGGCAACAGAGCAAGAUCCUGUCUCUA
rnacentral:SRP_RNA from 1 species